GUUUGCACUUAUCGGGGAAGGGUGAGAACCUUCGAUUAAGGUUCGACUCGAGCGAAAGCGAGAGAACGUUGCCAACGGCAACGGCCCGUAGGGUGAGGAGCAAAGCGACGAAUAAUCCUUCCCCCACCACCA
rnacentral:sRNA from 1 species